ACCUGAAUCCAUCUCGAACUCAGAAGUGAAACGAACAUGCGCCAAUGAUAGUGUGAGGCUUCCUCAUGUGAAAGUAGGUCAUCGCCAGGG
rnacentral:rRNA from 1 species